AGUCACUGACAUUAGAUACCCGCGUAGUCCAGGGUGUAAACGCUGCAGACUUGGUGUUGGAGGCCCUUUGGGGGCAUUCAGUGCCGGAGAGAAGUUGUUAAGUCUGCUACUUGGGGAGUACGUCCGCAAGGAUGAAACUUAAAGGAAUUGGCGGGGGAGCACCGCAACGGGAGGAGCGUGCGGUUUAAUUGGAUUCAACACCGUAAAACUCACCAGGGAAGACUGUUACAUGAAAGCCGAGAUGAAGACUCUGCUAGAUUUUCAG
rnacentral:rRNA from 1 species